rnacentral:rRNA from 1 species
UACGGAGGGUGCAAGCGUUAUCCGGAUUCACUGGGUUUAAAGGGUGUGUAGGCGGGCAUUUAAGUCAGUGGUGAAAUCUCCAGGCUCAACCUGGAAACUGCCAUUGAUACUAUUUGUCUUGAAUAUCGUUGAGGUAGGCGGAAUAUAUCAUGCAGCGGUGAAAUGCUUAGAUAUGAUAUAGAACACCGAUUGCGAAGGCAGCUUGCUAAACGAUUAUUGACGCUGAGGCACGAAAGCGUGGGGAUCAAACAGG